UACGUAGGGACCAAGCGUUGUUCGGAUUUACUGGGCGUAAAGGGCGCGUAGGCGGCGCGGUAAGUCACUUGUGAAAUCUCUGAGCUUAACUCAGAACGGCCAAGUGAUACUGCAGUGCUAGAGUGUGGAAGGGGCAAUCGGAAUUCUUGGUGUGGCGGUGAAAUGCGUAGAUAUCAAGAGGAACACCUGAGGUGAAGACGGGUUGCUGGGCCAACACUGACGCUGAGGCGCGAAAGCCAGGGGAGCAAACGGG
rnacentral:rRNA from 1 species